rnacentral:rRNA from 1 species
AAUGUAGGUAUCUGCCUUUUGGUUUGGAAUAACACGAGGAAACUUGUGCUAAUACCGGAUAAGCCUUCACAGGGAAAGUUUUAACGCCAAAAGAUGAGCCUGCACUUGAUUAGCUAGUUGGUAAGGUAAUGGCUUACCAAGGCUACGAUCAAUAGCUGUUCUUAGAGGAAGAUCAGCCACAUUGGGACUGAGACACGGCCCAAACUCCUACGGGAGGCAGCAGUGGGGAAUCUUGCACAAUGGGGGAAACCCUGAUGCAGCGAUGCCGCGUGAGUGAAGAAGGCCUUUGGGUUGUAAAGCUCUUUCGUCGGGGAAGAAAAUGACUGUACCCGAAUAAGAAGGUCCGGCUAACUUCGUGCCAGCAGCCGCGGUAAUACGAAGGGACCUAGCGUAGUUCGGAAUUACUGGGCUUAAAGAGCACGUAGGUGGUUAAAAAAGUUGGUGGUGAAAUCCCAAGGCUUAACCUUGGAACUGCCACCAAAACUUUUUAGCUAGAGUAUGAUUGAGGUAAGCGGAAUUUCUAGUGUAGAGGUGAAAUUCGUAGAUAUUAGAAAGAACACCAAUUGCGAAGGCAGCUUUCUGGAUCAUUACUGACACUGAGGUGCGAAAGCAUGGGUAGCGAAGAGGAUUAGAUACCCUCGUAGUCCAUGCCGUAAACGAUGUGUGCUAGACGUUGGGAAUUUUAUUUCU